GGAGGUGUGCCAGAGUGGUCGAAUGGGCCUGUCUUGAAAACAGGUAUACCGCAAGGUAUCGAAGGUUCGAAUCCUUCCGCCUCCG
rnacentral:tRNA from 1 species